rnacentral:misc_RNA from 1 species
GAUCGACGUUGAUUCGUCGAACACGAAUUCCAAAGAAAAAGCUUUACAUAUGUCAAGCUAAUUGCAAAUUGAUGAUAUCCGAUCGAUAGCUGUUGGUAGCAUCCGUGAGCGCGGUAUAGGGCGCGAAUAAGUGACAAGAAAAAGAGUAAACUACCGUGAUAGCAGGUAGUUUAACGAACUCGUAGUUGGCCAGCUAUAAUUAACGUGCCAAGAGUAGUGGAUGCGUGUUUGAUGCGUUGCAGACACGCAAGCAUGUUAGGACCAAGAUUAAUUGCGAUAAAAAUGACACCAAGUUAUAAUUAAGACCUUCUCGGAGAAGUGGCUGCGGCGUCCGCGAGUUCCAGCAGCAAGUUACGCUUUCGACUCGGCGUUUAAACUUCGAUCGAUGCCUCGUACAUUCGCGAAUAUUUCCUUCGCGUGAACUCACGAAACUCGCGAAAGAUCGAUCGGCCCUCGCGCUUUCUGUGUUCUCUGAAUCGACGAGGCAAGACAAUUGCCGAAGCUCGUUCCAGUAUCUCGCGUUAUUUGCAUUUGAUUGCGACAUUGCCGCGCCUCCCUUCCUUUUUCCCCCAUUUUAUUCAUCGAUCUUCAGUUUC